CCUACGCACUCCUACGGGAGGCAGCAGUGGGGAAUAUUGCACAAUGGGCGCAAGCCUGAUGCAGCCAUGCCGCGUGUAUGAAGAAGGCCUUCGGGUUGUUAAAGUACUUUCAGCAGUGAGGAAGGUGGGUAUGUUAAUAGCAUAUUCAUUUGACGUUAGCUGCAAAAGAAGCACCGGCUAACUCCGUGCCAGCAGCCGCGGUAAUACGGAGGGUGCGAGCGUUAAUCGGAAUUACUGGGCGUAAAGCGCAUGCAGGUGGUUUGUUAAGUCAGAUGUGAAAGCCCGGGGCUCAACCUCGGAAUUGCAUUUGAAACUGGCAAACUAGAGUACUGUAGAGGGGGUAGAAUUUCAGGUGUAGCGGUGAAAUGCGUAGAGAUCUGAAGGAAUACCGGUGGCGAAGGCGGCCCCCUGGACAGAUACUGACACUCAGAUGCGAAAGCGUGGGGAGCAAACAGGAUUAGAUACCCUGGUAG
rnacentral:rRNA from 1 species